CUCAAAUCCAUCUUCAAGGUGAGGCCCUCCUGGUAGUCCUCUACCUCUCCAUUUUGUUCUCCAACCUUGGUGGUGGUUUGAUCGUCUAUUCGUCUUCAAGGCUUCCUCCAAUCGUUGGCUCCAUAUCCUAGACACAGAGGUUCUUGCUGGUUUCCUCCUGCUCUAAAGACCAUAAGGUAAGAUAUUUAUUUUGAUAUUUUGGUCUCUCUUUUCUCAGCUUUUUUUGAAAUUUUUCUUCUAUGUUCAUCUAAAAUUCAUGGAUGGUUAAUCCUCUUUUUUUAUUAUUUUUUUCUAGAUUUUUCUUGGAUUUUUUUGUCCCUGUUUUCUCGGUUUUUUCAUGGAUUUUUUUCUUUCUAUUUUCUUCUAAAAUUCAUGGAUGGCUUAAUUUUCUAUUUUUUGAUUUUUUUCUCUAGAUUUUUAUUGGUAUUUUUUAGUCCCUCUUUUCUAAGUUUUUUCUAGGAUUUUUUUUUCCUAUAUUCUUCUAAAGUUCAUGGAUGGCUUAAUCCUCUAUUUUUUUUUUGUUUUUUAGGUUUUUCUUUCGAUUUUGUUGUCUCUAAAUUUUUCUUUGGUAGGUCAUGGAAAUAAUCCAUUUUUUCUAUUUUUUAUUAUUUGUUCACUUGAUUUGGAAUGGGAUUUGAAAUCAGAUCAGAAGCAUGCUGUUUUUUUGUUGUUUCUUUUAUCUGUAUUGUCUCUUAAGCCUAUGAUAAUCAGAGAAGCAACUAUUUGAUAAUUUUCUGGAUGUCAAGAUAUGUCAGGAUGAGAAAAACAAAUACAAAUUUUAAUUGGAUCAGCAAUAGCUGCAAAUCUGAAAAUCUGAAAAUGAAUGGUUUACUUGUGUAAUCUUUGCAUUUUAUGAAAAUCUAAAAUGCCUUUUUUUGUCAUACUUUCAUAAUAUUGGAUAUUUUAUUUUAGCUGCCACUUGUAUGAGAUGUUAGCUAUAUCUAAGAGUCAUAUAUAAGAAAUUCAAUCUCUGAAGUCGGUCUUGGUAUGAACUCUAAAGUCGGUCUUGGUAUGGCCCCCAAGCCAAAAAUGGUACUGGUGUAAUAUGGUACGCCCAGUUUGGGACGGUACACAACGGUAUGGGAAUCAUGUUUCCUAGUUUAUUUUGCAAAAUAUAACUCCCACCCUACCUAAAGGUUAAAGCCAAAGGUGCUACCAUAAUAUAUUGAAGAAUAUUUUGUUAGUUCAACAAAUAACCUUUCUGCACUGCUAACCACAACUUGAUGACUAUUUUUCUUUUUAUAAGCAGCUUCCAGAAAAACAAGCCCAAUACAGAUAAGAAAUGCCAACAAGCUAGGCAAAUGCGUUAAAAAAUGGGAUUUGUAGUAGGACUAAAGAAAGCGCUAAGGGAGGACAAGGAGUGAAGUACAGAUAAAAAUAGUAUAAUCAUGUCUAAAUAAAAUUCUAUGGGCAUAGCAAGGCUCAAAAGGAAGAGGGAUUUCACUUGUUUACAAGAAUUGAUUCUAAAGAGAGAGAAUUUGAGAAAACUGGACUACAUUAGAAAUUAAGAAGCCUGAAAAUGUUCUUGAGACAAUAAUUCUUCAUAAAAGUCAUGCAUACUUUACCCAAAUGCAUUGGACAAUGUCCUGUCAAUUACAUUUAUGUUGACAGACAUAUCUCCUGCCAAAUCCCUUCCAUUAUGCAACAACUAAUUUCUCACACAGUCUAAUUAUAGAAGCCAAUAACAUAAGGAACUCCCAUAAGAGAUGAGAUAGAUAGAGACAGACACUGACAGACAGACAGAAAGGAAAAGGGAAAAACAGAAAACAUACCUACAGUAAACUUAAUUCCUGUUCAUUUUGUAAACGAACAAUCCUUGCUGGUGAUUUCCAAACAAUUAAUAAUAUAUCAAAUACAGCACGAUUACCAUGCAAACAUUCAGGCAUUAAUUCAGUACUUGUGUAUGUUUGUCACACUGAAAAAAGUUAUGAUAGAAACAUAUAGCUAGAUGAAAAAUUUGCUAGUUAGCUUCUUGUCAAUGCCUGUAGCCAUGCAUGCAUAUGAAUAAAUAUGAAAUCUUUACAAAAAUUAUGCAAGCAAACCGUGUCAAACACCAUCAAGAAAAAUCACAUCUAUGAGAAGGCUCCUACAAUCCCAAUGAUCAGUAAUAGAUCAGCAAAUUGAUCUUUGCUAAACUGAAACUAUGCUUUCAGGUAGUAUUGUGUUGAUAUCAAGUGAAAACUGGUAAGUAAUCCAAACCCUCAAGACAGGCAUAUAGAAAUUAAAGUUAUAUAUGAAAGAAUCUGCAGUUGCGAAACUCCUGAUUUAUAAAAAUACUCUCCAAUUGAAAGUUGAUAAAUUUAUGACCUUAUUAAAUAAUUUUUAUCAUGCUUUUAGUUUAUAAUAAUCAUAUACAUAAGGCAUACCUCAAGAGUAUCAAUAGCAUUAAAACAUAUUCCCUCGGUGUUGAUAGUAUUAAUUAUGCUAUCUUGAAUCAAGAGUAGUAUGAUCUUAGCUACUUCCCAUGAUGUACCACGUUUAGACAUUUGAUUUUGAUGCUUUGCAAAUCAAAUCAAAGGGCAACCUGAAAUUAUAUAAAUUUUGGUUCUAUUUGCAGGAAUGGCUAUCAAUAAAUAAUGGAUGGAAAUUGGUGACAGACAUCAACCUGAAUAUAUGUAGGGGGUUGAGAUUUUUCUUAAUUUUGUAUUUGAACAUUCUUUGACACAGGAUGCAAUUCGAUGUCCUUAUAUCAAGCGUAGAAAUAUGAGUUUUAAAAGAAGAUCUAAUGUCAAGUUUCAUCUAUUAAAAUAUAGGAUUAUGAGAAAUUAUACAAUAUGAUACUAUCAUGGAGAAGAGGAUGAUUCUAUAGAGUUAGAUGAUCAUGAUGAUGCUGAUAAUGUAGGUGGUGGAGAGUUUUAUAUAGACGAUAUGGUUGGAUUGGUAAAUGAUGCUUUCUAUCAAACUAUUGAAGAUGUUGAUUCUGAUAAUGAGCAAAAUCAAUAUGAUUUUGAUGGUACAUGUAUAUCUGAAGAACCUAAUAUCGAAGCUACUAAAUUUUACCAUCUAUUGGAAGAAAUCCCAGAGACUUUAUUCCAGUUGUGAAUAUUCAAAACUAUCAAUUAUCAUUAAAUUGCUUCACCUCAAGUCGUUUCACAAAUGGACCAAUAGUUCAUUUGAUAAUUUGCUUGAUUAUUAAGGGUGCUAAUUCCUAAUGAGAAAAAGACAUUGCCCAAGUCAUAUUAUAGUGCAAGAAAGUAUUUUGCUGAACUUGGGCUUGAUUAUAUGAAGAUAGAUAUUUGUAAAAAUGAUUGUAUGAUUUAUUGGAAUAAAUAUGCCGAUGUAAGUAAUUGUCCCAUUUGUGGCUUGUCUAGAUGGAAGUCCAUUAGAGGUAAAGAAAAAAAAAUAUCUCUCAUAAGGUAUUACAUUAUUUUUCAUUAAAGAAGAGGUUACAAAGAUUGUAUAUGUCAAGCAAGAUAGUCUCCAAUAUGAGGUGGCAUAAAGAAAAAUGAGUAGAUGAUGGAUUAAUGGGACAUCCAGCAAAUACUAUUGCUUGGAAGUAAUUUGAUGAGCAAUAUAAAUUAUUUGCUAAUGAUUCUCAAAAUGUUUGGCUUGGUCUUGCUUGUGAUUGAUUUCAACUAUUUAAGAAUAUGAGCACACAACAUAGCAUUUGGCCAAUUGUUUCGGUUAAUUACAAUCUACGUCCUUGGAUGUGUAUGAAGGAACCUUAUCUGAUGUUGCCGCUACUAAUAUAUGAUCCAAACUCUCCUAGUAUGUAUAUAGAUAUGUAUUUACAAUCAUUGAUUAAAGAGUUGACAGAAUUAUAGAAAAUAGAUAUAGAAACUUAUGAUGCUCACACGAAACAAAAGUUUAGAUUGCAUGCAGCUAUAUAGUGGACUAUUAUGUAAUGAUUUUUCUGCAUAUAGUGAUUUUUAUGUAUACCAAGUAUAUGUGUUUCUUUUUAUUUAAAAUUUAUUAGAUAUUUAAUAUUUUCUUAUUAGUUAAAAUUGAAAUUACAAGACAAAAAGUAAAAAAAAAUCAUAAAACUACAAGGGUGCAAGAUGUAAACAUACUAACUCCAUUUGUGGAGUAUGAGUAUAAUAUGGUAUAUUCUUCCAUAUGCAAACUAAUUAUUAAUAUUUUUUUAUAGUAGAUUACUUAAUUUUGUUGAUACUUACUAGUGAACUUAUUUUUUUAUCAUUACAGAUAAAAAGGAAUGAUGGACAAAUGCCAGAUGCAGCUGAAAUUUGGUAUCAUGAGCAACUCGAAAAACAAAGG
rnacentral:lncRNA from 1 species